CUGGGAUUGCAGGCAUGUGCCACCACACCCAGGUGGUUUCAACUUGCCCGUCAUGUAAACAAUGCUACAAUGAACAUCUUUGUGCAGCCGCCUUGUGUGCAGGACAGUCAGCUUAUGGGGAAUUCCCGGGAUCAACAGGAAGCACCGAGAAGGGGAAACUGAACCGCAGAGGCCGGCGUGGCCCCAAGGCCUGUAGGAAAUACCCCAAUAUAGGAGAUUCCCUCAUAUCCCUGGCCAACGGGAUCUCUCUAAGAAGCCACUGCGACCCGUGAGCCGAGACUGCGCCAGCACACUCCAGCCUGGGCAACAGAGCAA